GCAACCUGGCGGCGUGCCUACACAUGCAAGUCGAGCGAUCUUCUUUCUUCGGGAAACGGAUUACCGGCUGGACUGGCGUGAUUAACUCACUGUGCCCUGCUGCCUCUGAUAUAAGGUGAAUGACCGUGCCUGAUGGUACAUUAUUACCUCAUAUUAUUGUAGCUUCGCAUGAUCUAACCUUUAGCGGAACAAUCCGCUCUCACAUGGGCCCGCGUCGCAGUAACUGUUUGGUGAUGUAACGGCUCACCUAAGCAACCAUCCUUAGCCGACCUGAGACGGCGAUCGGCCUCAUUGGCACUGAAACCCCCCCCAGACUCCUACAGUAGGCAAUAUUGCGCUAUGUUGCACAAUGUGAUACAGCCUCAUCCCGCGACCCCUCAUGGCUGAUGACUGCCUUCGCUUUGUCCACCUCUGACAUCAUGGCCGAUCAUGACGGUACCUGCCGAGGAAGCCACGGCUCACUACCUGCCAUCAUACGCGGGGAUACAUAGGUGGCCAGCGUUACCGGGAUUUACUGGGGCUAAAGGGAUCUUAUGCGGAUUAUUUAAUGGGAUGUGAAAUACCCGGG
rnacentral:rRNA from 1 species